AUGGUCUUGCUUGAUUUUAUCAUGCGAUCUUCUUGGCCCCUUAUGAAUACUCGUCCUACGUCCACCACUGGUCGUGGCAUAGGCGACGUAGCAUGGGGUCCACAACCCGUGGCUAGGCCGCUGGCUCGGAACGAGAUGCUGAUUUGCGGUAGAUUGGUGAGGCUUGCCAAUGUGGCUAGGGUGGCUUCUCCAUAGACACCAUGUCGACUUCAAUAAGGUCACAAUGGGGCUAAAAAUUUAUAGCUGGAUUAGUGGGCUAACCUCUAUGGUCGUGUGUUUUGUCUUAAUGAGAUAGGACUUAUCUAUUGUUUGUUAGAUGAGACGCGAGGGAGAGAAUCAAACGUACGUGUUUCGCACAUGACGGGCAACAACUACUCACAACAUAACCAUGUAAUUGUGGAAACACGAACGACGACGGUGAAAUCGUGUAACCGUGGAAGUACGGGCUGAUACUUUACAUAGUAGAGAACGGUUCAAUCGUUCUGCUUUGAUUUAUUUUAUUUUAAAAAUAAUUUUGAAAUUAAUGUUUUUCAUAAAGGAUUCUACAACUUUUUAGAUUUAAUAUUGACAAAAUAGUGUUAUCGUCGUGUAAACCCUAAAAGUUGGUUUUAGAAGUCUAGGUAGUUUAUUUAUUAGAUAAGAGAGGAUAUUAUGAAUUGUUUUGUGUGUGAAUUCUUGCAAUUGAGAUAAUGUUCCUUUAAAUAAAUACUAAAUAAAAAUACAAAGUGAUGCAUUUAUGCUGGAGUUUUGCUUGUGCGUCUAAUUUGAAGUUUCAAUUCAAAAUCGAGU
rnacentral:lncRNA from 7 species